GGCCCCGGAGCAUACCGGGUUAUCAAAGCAACUUGCGGCGAUGAGCCGCAUAUGGCCCCAAGGGAUUUUGCCGGGUUCAACCCCCGGCGGGGCCUCCA
rnacentral:tRNA from 1 species